rnacentral:lncRNA from 1 species
UGAUGCAGAACGUCCUCCCUUGAAUUGCACCACAGCUUGGUGCAUAGACACGUCGUCACUGAGCUUGUGCUGAUAAAGUGUGAACUCCGGGCGAGUCGCUGGCCCGAUCGCGAGCUUGGUGAUGGAAACGAGAAGCUUGACAAACCCCUCUGGCACGUUCGUGAACACUCGAGUCUCGCAGUUGCUGCCAGCCAUCUACAAAAGUAGGCAAAAAUUCUGAGUAGUCAAGUCAUAAAUUUUAUGAUGACCAACAGAAAAUAGCUACAAUUGCAAAGUGCUGAAAAAGUACAAAAGAUGCUAAUAACCGAUUAGCGAUCGCACCUAGUGGCUUCCUACAGUCAGCCUGGCUCUGAUACCAAGCUUGUCACGACCGGUCUUUCAAUAAAAUAUUUAUUGAGAGACCAAUCCCUUUUACGGACCAGUAAAGAAGAAUUCCUUCUCACUGACAGACAAUAUCUUGGUCACAGAAGACAAAUACCAGGAGUACUGAAUAUAAUACAAGUUGAGCGGAGACUGCUCAACAGAUUAUUACAUGCAGGCCGAUAAAACAUAACGGCGGAUAUGGUUGUAUUACUACUAACUCACGAUAACAACGGUGGUGGAAAUAUCACAGCGGAGCGGGUGAUAUGACUCCUGAAGACUACAGCCCUUCGAGCGUCGGAGUGAAGCUCGAGGAGAUUUAUUGCGGGUGGCGGAAGCGUAUAUAAUACAACCAAAAUCCAAGAUCGCACGGGGCUGACUGGGACUCCUCUAGGCGUCGGACUCACUAGCAAACUCCUCAUCCACGAGAUCGCCUUCGUCAACAUCUGGCCAAAACAACAAGCCAGGUGACUACUAUGAAAGUACUCGCAAGACAGUUCGGACAUAAGAUAUAACAAAGGUAAGCAUGAAUGCAUAUGCACAGGUCAACAAGUGCGCUCAGGCAUAGAGAUAAAACUGUACGGGAAAUAAAAGAGAAGUCGGGCGGUAAUCCUCCCGAAAUCCCAAAAUAAUAUACUGGGUGCCAAACGAGGGUCUGAAUGACCCAUCGAGAGGAAAAUGCAAGAAAAUACAAUGCCGCAGUCGGGCGUCAAGGCGACACCACAUAAAGGGCUUAUAACAAAAAAUAAAAGACAAAAUGCCACAGUCGGACGUCUGAGCGACAUCACAUAAAGGGCUUAUAACAGAAAAUAAAAGACAAACAUGCCACAGUCGUACGUCUGAGCGACAUCACAUAAAGGGCUUAUAACAGAAAAUAAAAGACAAACAUGCCACAGUCGGACGUCUGAGCGACAUCACAUAAAGGGCUUAUAACAGAAAAUAAAAGACAAACAUGCCACCGUCGGACGUCUGAGCGACAUCACAUAAAGGGCUUAUAACAGAAAAUAAAAGACAAACAUGCCACAGUCGGACGUCUGAGCGACAUCACAUAAAGGGCUUAUACCAUAACUCAAUAAUUCAAUCGCUUGAAAAUAAUUACAAGUACGAGACAAAAUAUAAGGUUAGUCCAUCCACAGGAAUAACAAUUAAAUUUGGUUUAUCACUUGAGUUUGUUCACCGGGGAUAAAUUUCCACGAGGAUAGAUAUGGAUAUACUGACCACUCUACUAGAUCAUGGAUACGAUGAUUUGGAAGGAUUUGACUCUGCAGAGUUUGUACCUUAACCACAGCCAACGGAUUUCAGUAGUCACGGGGACUAGUUCCGUUUACGGUGUUUUGGAAGGAACACGUCUAACCAGUACACACCCAUUCAACAUUCCGAAGCCAGGGAUCACCCUCGGCAACGUUCAAGAAAAAUCUUGAGACGGGGAGGCUACAACCUCACGUAGCAUGGGAUCAAAUUUCUAUUCGCGCGCUCUAAGGGGUGCCCCCUCUCGGUCCCAACCGGAAACACCCAUGCCCCCUGACCGGAUGACUGGCUUUAAUCCAGGGCCAUGGAACCAUCAUCCCGGCCCCUCUGUUUGGUGUGUACACGGAAAGAGGUUACCAACUUACUAAACCGCAUUCUGACAGAAAACAUGUGGUAGCACAAAAGGGGAAAGAACGAUAACGUGACUCCGUCCACGUUAACGUCGGAACAUAAACGGAAGACGUAAGGCUGGCAUGCUACAACAGUACCACCUCACGGCCCUUCAUGUCACCACAUGACUAGGCCAUCUCUCAUCAGAGAUCUUAGUAACUUUGGAACACACGGGUAGUUGCCUCACAUGCAACGAGAUACCCACCGAUGCUCAUAUGCCAUGCACAACCUUUCACGCAACCAUGCAAAACACCUAUCAUAUCAAAGGUUCAAACAUGCUUGCCUGGGUCGGAGAAGUCGGAGUCUAGCUCGGCGAAGUUCGCGGCUCCGUCACCUCUCCCGGAACCUACGGUAUAGAGAAAAUGCAUACUAACGUGAAAAUCAACGCGUGCACAAAAGUUGUUCCAAUUUUUUUUCAAAUAAAUCCCAUAAAAUACUAGACAAAAUUUUAAGACUGUCAGAAAAACAAUCACUUUUUAUUUAGAAGUCAUAAGGGUUUCUGUCCAGGGACUCAUCUGUAAUGAAACAGAAAAGUUCCAGGGGUUUAACUGAGAAAACAGAAAACGGUUCGAAUAGAAACGCGCAAGCCCACAGAGAAAACAUACUCUGCCCGAAGGCGCCAACAAAAAACGGUUCGUGGGGAAAGAAAGACAGGCUGACGUGGGGGGUCCACAUGUCAGGUUUGAAAGACCUCACCGGCGCCCGAAGGCUGCGGUGGUCGCCGGCGUCGAACCACGGCGAGUCAGGGCGAUCGGAGUGUACCAAGAGUAUCAGCGUGUCCUUCCGCGUCGGUGGGUGGUGGACUUGGGCGUCGGAGAGCACCACGUCGACGGCGACACUUUCUCCGGCGGACGGCGGCUCGGGCGAUGGUGGGGAACUCCGGUGGCGUGCUGCAAACUUCUAAUUGAAGCGCGGGUCAGAAGGAGGGAUGCACCAGAGAGCUUCUGGCAAGAGAUGGGAGGUAGAGGUGCACGUACGGGAGUGAAUCGAGCUGGAUCCCGUGGCGGGUCGCGGCGGCCGGAGUUGAGGAAGGAGACUUCCUCGGGGCUCUCCCAGUGGCUAGGCAGGGUCUUGGUGGGGUGUAGAGGUGGUGUGAGUACUAGCUGGAGCUCGGGGCCUCUAUUUCUAGGCGGCUCAAGGGGGUGGCCGUGAACGGGGUUGCUCCGGCGAGCAAUUACGGCGAGGCAGCGGCUUGGAAGGAGUUUAGGUGGCCAGGCGGCAUCAGUGAGGUGUACUGGUGUCAUUCCCCCGAUAAUCCCGGUCGGUCUUGGCGUAAUGGCGCCGGUCCACGGUGGGGUGGCCGCACGGGCACAACGGCGGCAGAGAGCGCGCUCCGCGCCCAGCGGUUCGCGAUGAAGGUGGCAGCCCGCACUGGGGAGUGGAAGACCACGCGGCGCUCUCCGGUGGCUUGGGCGGCGCUGGGUGGCGCCGUCUGCGCUGCGCCUCCUUCUGGCGGCCGCAAAGCCGCCGCUGGCGUCGGUCACGGGGCGGCGCACUUCCUCCAGCUCGUCGCCGACGCCCGCAAGCAUCCAGGCGCUCGUGCGGUGCAGAGGACAAGGGGGAGGGGACAGGAAACACGGCGACGCCGGGCACUAGCGAGAUCGGCAACAGACACUGAAGAAAACGACAGUGAUCCAGCCACUGUUAACUGAAUUUGACUGAACCUGAUAUUGACAGUGCUCUGAAGGUGUUCGAUGAAAUGAUUUGGUGUGAAGAAAAUUUUUCCUGGAGCUGGGGCUUGGUGAGGUGACCACUCAAUGCACCCAGAGGCUGCCUGAUUUUACUCAGAAUUUUUGGAGAAGAAUUUGAAUGAAUUUCAUCAAAUUUGGCAAAUCUGGUCCAAACAUGCAGCAAGUAUAGUUUGAAAAUUUUGAACUGAAGACCAGUGGAUCUUCAUGGAUCUUGGUUGAGGGUUCAAACGACUAGGAGGGGAAAAAGGUUUGGGAGUAAAAAUCAAAGCAGAAAGUGUAGUUCCUUUGUAAACCUCCAAGGGUCAAGAUAUGAGGCAGAAAUUGUUUUUAAAAUAAAUAAGUGGAAAAUAAAUAUAUGGAGAGGUCCAACUUGCUGGAUUUGAAGUAGAUCAUGAUCCAAGGGUGAGGAGAGGUUUAUGAGAGUGGAUUUGCAAUAGGUCAUGGCAAGAGAGGUUUGUUGAAAGUGGCAAAGAAUCAUUUUCAAAGGCCGUAGUGCAUUUUUCAAAGAAAUUUUCAAAAGCCAUUUUUCCCAGGUGAAAAGCAUUUUGGUUUGAGUCCAAAUCACAGAAAGAACCUCCAAGACCAAAAAUCAAGUCUUGGGUGAAUCCAAAUAAAAUCCUUGCCCAAAAGAAUAUUUUGAAGGGGAGGGUUCUUUUCAAAAAAAAAUUAAAAUACUCCCCCCUUCAAGUCCAAUAAUUUUUUUGAAAAAGGCCAAAUAAAAUUUUGGGUGUCACAACACCUACCCCCUUAGGAAAAAUCUCGUCCUCGAGAUUUCAGCUGAUCCUCGAAUAGAUAUGGAUAUUCUGCCUGGAGAAAAUCUUCCCUUUCCCAUGUAGUUUCAUCCUCAGUGUGGUUGCUCCACUGAACCCUGAAAAAUUUUGUUGUCUUCUGAUGGGUCGUCCUUUCAGACUCUUCCAAAAAUUUUACUGGCCUCCCUCUGUAGGUGAGGCCUGGUUGUAUAUCAAUGCUUUCAUGAGGUACAUGCUUCUCCGGGUUACUUACACAUUUUCUCAAUUGUGAGACAUGGAACACGUCAUGGACGUCUGACAGCUCCUUGGGUAGAUCUAGUUGGUAGGCUACCGUGCCUCUUCGUGCAAUUAUACAGAAUGGUCCAAUAAAUCUUGGACCUAGCUUCCCCUUAAUUUUGAACCGUUGCAGGCCCCUCAUAGGAGAUACUCGUAGGUAUACGGAAUCACCGGGUUCAAAGCUGACCUCGCGGUGUUUUUGAUCGUAGUAGCUCUUUUGUCGGCUCUGUGCUGUCUUCAGUCGGUCCCUGAUCUGUUUAACUUUCUCCUCGGCCUCCUUAAGCAUGUCUGGACCGAAGAUACGACCGUCGCCUGUUUCUGACCAAUUCAGUGGGGUACGACACCUCCGUCCGUACAGUGCUUCAAAAGGUGCCAUCUGUAAGCUGGCUUGGUAACUGUUGUUGUAAGCAAACUCGGCAUACGGCAAACUCUCUUCCCAACUGGAUCCAUAUGUGAGUAAACAGGCUCUCAGCAUAUCCUCUAGGAUUUGGUUCACACGUUCCGUUUGUCCAUCAGUCUGAGGGUGGUACGCUGUACUGAAAGCUAGUUGUGUGCCUAGAGCUUGUUGCAGUUGAUCCCAAAAUUUUGAGACAAAUUGAGUGCCUCGGUCGGAUAUUAUAGUCCUUGGGACUCCAUGCAAACAAACUAUACGGGAGAGAUAGAGCUUGGCUAGCCUUUGCGUGGAGUAGGUUGUCUUCACAGGAAUGAAAUGGGCUACCUUGGUUAGCCUAUCUGUGAUGACCCAAAUGGCAUCAUUUCCAUGUUGCGAUCGAAGUAGUCCGACAAUGAAGUCCAUCCCAAUUUCAUCCCACUUCCAUUCAGGUAUCCUGUUUGGCUGGAGUAGCCCUGCUGGCUUUUGAUGUUCGGCCUUGAUGCGUUGACAUGAAUCGCAGCAAGCAAUGAAUGCGGCUAUAUCUCUUUUCAUACCGAGCCACCAAAAUCUUUCUUGAAGGUCUUUGUACAUUUUGGUCCCUCCAGGGUGGAUCGAGUAUGGAGCGGUGUGGCUUUCGGUUAGGAUUUGUUGCUUGAGUUCCCCAAUGUUAGGUACGCAAAGUCUGUCUCCGUACCAUAAUAUCCCUUCGUUGUCUGUGACGAACUCUGAAGCCUUACCAAGGUUCAUUUUCCUUUUUAUACCUUCGAUGCUGCGAUGCCCCUGUUGAGCCUUCUUAAUUUGUUCCAUAAGGGUGGGAUGUAUCUCCAGAUUUGAUAAGGUUCCCUCCGCGGCUAACACCAUGUUGAGUCUAGUGAACUCUUGCUGAAACUCAGGCCUCAAAUUUUUUGUACUGUUGUCAUCCGGGCUAGGGUUCCGACUAAGGGCAUCAGCCACUACAUUUGCCUUCCCUGGAUGAUAGUGAAUGCCGACAUCAUAGUCCUUGACCAAUUCCAACCAGCGCCGUUGGCGUAAAUUUAGUUCUGGCUGUGUGAAAAUAUAUUUGAGGCUCUUAUGGUCAGUAUAUAUUUCACAACGAUUUCCCAACAGAAAGUGCCUCCACUCCUUGAGUGCAUGUAUGACUGCUGCGAGCUCCAAGUCAUGUGUUGGGUAAUUUUCCUCAUGUUUCCGCAGUUGCCUGGAGGCAUACGCGACAACUUUGCCAUCCUGCAUCAGCACACAUCCGAGACCCUUCCGGGAUGCGACACAAUAUACUUCGAAACUCUUGUGUAUGUCUGGCACGGUUAAUACCGGUGCGCUUGUUAGCUUCCUCUUGAGUUCUUGGAAGCUUUUCUCGCAUGCUUCCGUCCAUACAAACUUCUUAUCUUUCUUGAGCAACUGGGUUAUUGGUUUUUCCACAGUGGAGAAUCCUUCAAUAAAUCUCCGGUAAUAUCCAGCCAUUCCUAAGAAACUCCGAACGUCGGUCACAUUGGCUGGUGGCUUCCAGUCAAGUAUGGCUUUGACCUUUUCUGGGUCUACGGCUAUGCCUUCUUGGUUCAAUAUAUGGCCCAGGAAACCAACUUGUCUUAGCCAAAAUUCGACUUGCUAAAUUUGGCGUACAAUUGGUGUUUCCUUAAUUCUCCCAAAACGAUUCUGAGGUGCUCAGCAUGCUCCUCUGGUGUUCUUGAAUAUACCAGAAUGUCGUCAAUGAACACCACAACAAAUUUGUCCAUAAACUUCAUAAACACUUUGUUCAUGGGGUGGACGAAAUAGGCGGGGGCGUUCGUCAAUCCAAAAGGCAUCACUGUGAACUCAUAUAAUCCGUAUCUGGAGGUGAAUGCUGUUUUAGGGAUAUCUUCUGUCCGUACUUUCAAUUGAUGAUACCCUGAUCUCAAAUCAAUUUUUGAGAACACCUUGGCUUGCGCGAGUUGGUCAAACAAAUCAUUUAUCCGUGGCAUCGGAUAUUUGUUUUUUAUGGUAACCAUAUUGAGAGCUCGAUAGUCUAUACACAAUCUCAGUGUCCCAUCCUUUUUCUUGGCGAAUAAGACUGGCGAACCCCAAGGUGAGGAGCUGGCUCGAAUAAAUCCUUUGUCCAAUAAUUCCUUUAUCUGCUUCUUUAACUCUACCAAUUCUGAGGGUGCCAUCCUGUAAGGUUUCUUAUAGAUGGGAGUGGUUCCAGGUGCUAGUUUAAUGCUGAACUCAAUUUCUCGGUCUGGUGGCAUGCCUGGUAGUUCUUCAGGAAAUACGUCUAGAAACUCGCACACUACUGGAACCUUUCUCAAUUCCGAAAUGCCCAUUUUGUUCAAAUUUGGUUGCUGUGACCGUGGUCUUUCCUGAGCUGUAACCUUUAUUGUCUUGCCGUGAUGAUGAGUGAGGAUCAUAGUCCGAUUGAAACAGUCAAUAAAUCCUUUGUUGGUGGUUAACCAGUCCAUCCCUAAAAUGACAUCCAGUCCUUUGUUUUCCAACACGAUGAGGUUUGCUUGGAACGGUAGUCCUUCGAACUCAAUGAUCACUCCUUGGCAGUAACUCUGAGCGAUUUGUUUACUUCCGGGGGACUUGAUGAUCAUAGAUUUUUCCAAGGGAAGCAUUGGAAAACCAUUUUGCGAAACAAAAUUCUUCGAAACGAACGAAUGGGAAGCUCCAGAAUCAAACAAAACCGUGGCAGGUACUGUGUUGACAGGGAACAUACCGAGCACGAUGUCUGGGGCAUUCUGCGCUUCUUCCUUGGUCACAUGGUUCAGGUGACCCUUCCCGUGGUUGUUGUUGGGAUUGAAAUUGUUGCGCUUGGGAGUUGGAUUAUUCCCAGUAUUGUUUGGCUUGGGGGCCGAGUUCCUUGGUUUUGGACAUUGUUUGGCAUAGUGUCCUUCUUCACCACAAGCAUAGCAUGUGACCCCUGGACGGUACGUGAACUCCUUGUCUCUGGCAUGAAACUGUGUGACAGGCCUUGGAUCAGCAGUCGGGAGUUUCCUUGCUUCUGUCCUUGGAACCUCAAUCCUGCUUCUGUGGUGGUCGCCGGCGUCGAACCACGGCGAGUCAGGGCGAUCAGAGUGUACCAAGAGUAUCAACGUGUCCUUCGGCGUCGGUGGGUGGUGGACUUGGGCGUCGGAGAGCACCACGUCGACGGCGACACUUUCUCCGGCGGACGGCGGCUCGGGCGAUGGUGGGGAACUCCGGUGGCGUGCUGCAAACUUUGAAUUGAAGCGCGGGUCAGAAGGAGGGAUGCACCAGAGAGCUUCUGGCAAGAGAUGGGAGGUAGAGGUGCACGUACGGGAGUGAAUCGAGCUGGAUCCCGUGGCCGGUCGCGGCGGCCGGAGUUGAGGAAGGAGACUUCCUCGGGGCUCUCCCAGUGGCUAGGCAGGGUCUUGGUGGGGUGUAGAGGUGGUGUGAGUACUAGCUGGAGCUCGGGGCCUCUAUUUAUAGGCGGCUCGAGGGGGUGGCCGUGAACGGGGUUGCUCCGGCGAGCAAUUACGGCGAGGCAGCAGCUUGGCAAGGAGUUUAGGUGCCCAGGCGGCAUCAGUGAGGUGUGCUGGUGUCGUUCCCCCGCUAAUCCCGGUCGGUCUUGGCGUAAUGGCGCCGGUCCACGGUGGUGUGGCCGCACGGGCACAACGGCGGCAGAGAGCGCGCUCCGCGCCCAGCGGUUCGCGACGAAGGUGGCAGCGCGCACUGGGGAGUGGAAGACCACGCAGCGCUCUCCGGUGGCUUGGGGCGGCGCUGGGUGGCGCCGUCUGCGCUGCGCCUCCUUCUGGCGGCCGCAAAGCCGCCGCUGGCGUCGGUCACGAGGCGGCGCACUUCCUCCAGCUCGUCGCCGACGCCCGCAAGCAUCCAGGCGCUCGUGCGAUGCAGAGGACAAGGGGGAGGGGACAGGAAACACGGCGACGCCGGGCACUAGCGAGAUCGGCAACAGACACUGAAGAAAACGACAGUGAUCCAGCCACUGUUAACUGAAUUUGACUGAACCCUAUAUUGACAGUGCUCUGAAGGUGUUCGAUGAAAUGAUUUGGUGUGAAGAAAUUUUUUCCUGGAGCUGGGGUUUGGUGAGGUGACCACUCAAUGCACCCAGAGGCUGCCUGAUUUUACUCAGAAUUUUUGGAGAAGAAUUUGAAUGAAUUUCAUCAAAUUUGGCAAAUCUGGUCCAAACUUGCAGCAAGUAUAGUUUGAAAAUUUUGAACUGAAGACCAGUGGAUCUUCAUGGAUCUUGGUUGAGGGUUCAAAGGACUAGGAGGGGAAAAAGGUUUGGGAGUAAAAAUCAAAGCAGAAAGUGUAGUUCCUUUGUAAACGUCCAAGGGUCAAGAUAUGAGGCAGAAAUUGUUUUUAAAAUAAAUAAGUGGAAAAUAAAUAUAUGGAGAGGUCCAACUUGCUGGAUUUGAAGUAGAUCAUCAUCCAAGGGUUAGGAGAGGUUUAUGAGAGUGGAUUUGCAAUAGGUCAUGGCAAGAGAGGUUUGUUGAAAGUGGCAAAGAAUCAUUUUCAAAGGCCGUAGUGCAUUUUUCAAAGAAAUUUUCAAAAGCCAUUUUUCCCAAGUGAAAAGCAUUUUGGUUUGAGUCGAAAUCACAGAAAGAACCUCCAAGACCAAAAAUCAUGUCUUGGGUGAAUCCAAAUAAAAUCCUUGCCGAAAAGAAUAUUUUGAAGGGGAGGGUUCUUUUCAAAAAAAAAUUAAAAUACUCCCCCCUUCAAGUCCAAUAAUUUUUUUGAAAAAGGCCAAAUAAAAUUUUGGGUGUCACAACUGCUUUCCGUUAAUCCUAUCCUGAUGCAUAGCCUGUCAUUGUUGCUACAGUUGUUACCCUUACCUGCUAUCCUACUGCUUAGUAUAGGAUGCUAGUUUUCCAUCAGUGGCCCUACAUUCUUGUCCGUCUGCUGUGCUAUACUAUCGGGCCGUGAUCACCUGGGUGGUGGUCACGGGUAUAUACUAUAUACAUUAUAUACAUGACACAUGUGGUGACUAAAGUCGGGUCGGCUCGUUGAGUACCCGUAAGUGAUUCUGAUGAGGGGGCUGAAAGGACAGGUGGCUCCAUCCCGGUAGAGGUGGGCCUGGGUUCCUGACGGCCCCCGACUGUUACUUUAUGGCGGAGCGACAGGGCAGGUUGAGACCACCUAGGAGAGAGGUGGGCCUGGCCCUGGACGGCGUCCGCGGUUACUUAAAAUAACACGCUUAACGAGUUCUUGGUAUUUGAUCUGAGUCUGGCCUUUUGGUCUAUACGCACUAACCAUCUACGCGGGAGUAGUUAUGGGUAUCCCGGCGUCGUGGUAUCCGCCGAAGCACUUCUUGACGUCAGCAACUGAGUGGCGCGCGCCGCAUUGGACCGUAAGCUCGCGAUUGUAUUAAGGGGCCUAGGUCUGCUUCCGGCCGCGUACGCAACGUGCAGGUGUGCAUAGGGUGAUGGGCCCAGACCCCUGCGCGCAUAGGGUUAGACCGGCGUGCUGACCUCUCUGUUGAGCCUAGGUGGGGCUGCGACGUGUUGAUCUUACGAGGCCGGGCAUGACCCAGAAAAGUGUGUCCGGCCAAAUGGGAUCGAGCGUGUUGGGUUAUGUGGUGCACCCCUGCAGGGAAGUUUAUCUAUUCGAAUAGUCGUGUCCCUCGGUAAAAGGACGCCCGGAGUUGUACCUUGACCUUAUGACAACUAGAACUGGAUACUUAAUAAAACACACCCUUCCAAGUGCCAGAUAUAACCCGGUGAUCGCUCUCUAACAGGGUGACGAGGAGGGGAUCGCCGGGUAGGAUUAUGCUAUGCGAUGCUACUUGGAGGACUUCAAUCUACUCUCUUCUACAUGCUGCAAGAUGGAGAUGACCAGAAGCGUAGUCUUCGACAGGACUAGCUAUCCCCCUUUUAUUCUGGCAUUCUGCAGUUCAGUCAACUGAUAUGUCCCUUUACACAUAUACCCAUGCAUAUGUAGUGUAGCUCCUUGCUUGCGAGUACUUUGGUAGAGUACUCACGGUUGCUUCUCUCCCUCUUUUCCCCCUUUCCUUGCUAUCUGGUUGUCGCAACCAGAUGUUCGAGUCCAGGAGCCAGACGCCACCGUCGACGACGACACCUAUGACACAGGAGGUGCCUACUACUACGUGCAGGCCGCUGACGACGACCAGGAGUAGUUAGGAGGAUCCCAGGCAGGAGGCCUGCGCCUCGUUCGAUCUGUAUCCCAGUUUGUGCUAGCCUUCUUAAGGCAAACUUGUUUAACUUAUGUCUGUACUCAGAUAUUGUUGCUUCCGCUGACUCGCCUGUGAUCGAGCACUUGUAUUCGAGCCCUCGAGGCCCCUGGCUUGUAUUAUAAUGCUUGUAUGACUUAUUUAUGUUUUAGAGUUGUGUUGUGAUAUCUUCCCGUGAGUCCUUGAUCUUGAUCGUACACAUUUGCGUGCAUGAUUAGUGUACGGUCAAAUCGGGGGCGUCCCAAGUAUAGCAAGGCAGACGGACAAGAGUGUAGGGCCACUGAUGGGUCACUAGCAUCCUAUACUAAGCAGUAGGAUAGCAGGUAAGGGUAACAACUGUAGCAACAAUGACAGGCUAUGCAUCAGGAUAGGAUUAACGGAAAGCAGUAACAUGCUACACUACUCUAAUGCAGGCAGUAUAGAGAAGAAUAGGCGAUAUCUGGUGAUCAAAGGGGGGGCUUGCCUGGUUGCUCAGACGAGAAGGAGGGGUCGUCGGUGACGUAGUCGAUCACAGGGGCAUCAGCAUCGUCACGGGGUCUACCGAAGAGAAGAGGGGGGAGAAACAGUAAAUACAUAGCAAGCAACUGCAUAACAGGACAACAGGCAAAGCUAGACGUGUUCUAACACGGUGCUACACGAUACCGGUGAAGGGGGAAGUCAACUGCAAAUGUUUUCCCGGUUUCGGACUCGUGUCAGAUAGACGACCGGAGAGGGAAAGUUCCAUGUUCAGAUAGUUAGAGGCAUCUGACAGGUAAAUGAACCGCGUGUUCGGAUUCGUCUCGUCGUUCUGAGCAACUUUCAUAUAUAAAACAUUUUCAUCCGAGUUACGGAUUAUUUUCUGUGAUUUAUCAAAGAUUUUAUACAUUUAUGAUGUUUCUGGCUUUAUUUUAAUUCGGGUUGACCAAGUCAAUUUGACUGGUCAAAAGGACAGAGGUGGUGGCCCACAUGUCAUAGGCUAUAUCUAAUCUAAUAAAUAAAUCUAACUUAUUUAAAGAGGGUUCCUACAUGUCAUAUGACUAGUAUCUAACCCAACUAGUGAUUAACACUAAACUAAUUGGACAGGGCCGUCCUCACAUGUAGUGGUUGUGCCACGGCCAGCACACAUCGGAGAACCAAGGCGGCCAUGGUCACGAGCAGCAGCAAGCAACAACGUAGUAGCAGGAAGAUAGAGCAGCAGUAAGCAGCACUAGAAGAGCAGCGACAGGAGGAUAGAGCAGCAGCACAGCAAGCACUAGCAGGAGAGCAUCAGCGAGCAACGGCAAUAGCAGCAAGCAGAGCAUCAGCAGUAGUGCACUAGCAGGAGUAGCAACGCAGCGGCAAUAGCAAGGGCAGCAGCAGUGGCGAUGCAAGCAGCAACGCAGCAGGCGAGCAGCACGGCAGUAGGGCAGCAGCGGCGCGCGGGGCACGGCCCGGGCGUGCGUGACCACGCAGCACGCGCCGGCGGGCGCGGCCGGGGGGCUGGGAGCUUGCAACGAGCGCGUCCAACCCGAGACAGGGGAUCGGCGGUAGGCACGGCGCGAGCGAGUGCGCGAGCGCAGCCAUGUGUGAACGGUCGAGUGCGUGCGUGGACGGGACGAACUCCCAUCUAUGGCGGCUGAAGCACGGGGCGACUAAACGGCAGGCACGGGAGCAGCGGCUAACGGAGUGGAUCGAGGGGGCAAAGUAGGGGUGGUGGAGGAGGAGCUCACAGUGGGUUUCGUGGACAUGGCCGAAGGCGCGGAGGUGGCCGGACGCUUCGCGCUCGUCGACGAGAUGCGGCGGCCGUGGUGGUGGAGAAGACGGGUGAUGGCGAGCUUCCGGGGCGCCCCUACUCAAAUCGAAGCAAAUAGACGAAGGAGUCGUCCAUGCUGAAGCUCCUGGAUAUCCUCCCGGGCGCCGGGGAGGCCAAUGGCCGCGAGGACGAUGAUGGUGCGGCAACAACGGAUCGGGCGCGAUCUAGAC